CUGCCUGCAGAAUGUGCUGGAACCAGAGCCUAACAGAAUCAUCAUCAAAGAGACCAGAGAGACUUUAUCCAGCAACGGAUGGGAACAGAUGCUGAGUCCCACAGCCAAACAUGAGGACCUCUCACUGAAUCCAGAGCUUAUCAGUUCAACCAGAAGAACUGGCCAGCAAGAUCCAGACAUCUUCCCCCUCCGCCCCUGCCCCCCAAAGCUGGGAUUAUAAAGCAAUGGCACCACCAGCCACCUAGUGACCCGAGUCAGGAUCUGAGUCACCCCAACUCCUGCCUCUCCUCAGUCUACAUCACACCACAGUUCCUGCUUCCAGGUUCCUGCCUAGAGUUGCUGCCUUGUCUCCCCUUGAUGAUGGAUGGACUGUAAGAUGUAAGCCAAAUAAACCUUUCUUCUGCAA